rnacentral:rRNA from 1 species
UACAGGGGGGGCAAGCGUUGUUCGGAAUUACUGGGCGUAAAGGGCGCGUAGGCGGCCCGCUAAGUCGAACGUGAAAUCCCUGGGCUCAACCCAGGAACUGCGUCCGAUACUGGCAGGCUUGAAUCCGGGAGAGGGAUGCGGAAUUCCUGGUGUAGCGGUGGAAUGCGCAGAUAUCAGGAGGAACACCGGUGGCGAAGGCGGGAUCCUGGGCCAGUACUGACGCUGAGGAGCGAAAGCGUGGGGAGCAAACAGG